GAUGAACGCUGGCGGCGUGCCUAAUACAUGCAAGUCGAGCGAACGGACGAGAAGCUUGCUUCUCUGAUGUUAGCGGCGGACGGGUGAGUAACACGUGGAUAACCUACCUAUAAGACUGGGAUAACUUCGGGAAACCGGAGCUAAUACCGGAUGAUAUUUUGAACCGCAUGGUUCAAAAGAGAAAGACGGUCUUGCUGUCACUUAUAGAUGGAUCCGAGCUGCAUUAGCUAGUUGGUAAGGUAACGGCUUACCAAGGCAACGAUGCAUAGCCGACCUGAGAGGGUGAUCGGCCACACUGGAACUGAGACACGGUCCAGACUCCUACGGGAGGCAGCAGUAGGGAAUCUUCCGCAAUGGGCGAAAGCCUGACGGAGCAACGCCGCGUGAGUGAUGAAGGUCUUCGGAUCGUAAAACUCUGUUAUUAGGGAAGAACAUAUGUGUAAGUAACUGUGCACAUCUUGACGGUACCUAAUCAGAAAGCCACGGCUAACUACGUG
rnacentral:rRNA from 1 species